UACGAAGGGGGCUAGCGUUGCUCGGAAUUACUGGGCGUAAAGGGCGCGUUGGCGGGUCGUCAAGUUGGGGGUGAAAGCCCGGGGCUCAACCUCGGAAUUGCCUUCAAAACUGACGACCUAGAGUUUGGGAGAGGUGUGUGGAACUCCGAGUGUAGAGGUGAAAUUCGUAGAUAUAGAGAAGAACACCAAAAGGCGAAGGCAGUUAACUAUUCUGUUCCUGACGUUGAGGCACGAAAGCGUGGGGAGCAAAACGG
rnacentral:rRNA from 1 species